rnacentral:rRNA from 1 species
GAUAAACGCUGGCGGCGCACAUAAGACAUGCAAGUCGAACGGAAGUCGUUAUAAAAUGGAUUGAAGAUUUAUCAGAUAGAAGUUUUGUAACAAUGGCUUUAGUGGCGGACUGGUGAGUAACACGUAAGCAAUCUACCUAUUAGAGGGGAAUAACAAUGAGAAAUCAUUGCUAAUACCGCAUAAGCUUGUAGUACCGCAUGGUACAGCAAGAAAAGGAGCAAUCCGCUAAUAGAUGAGCUUGCGGCUGAUUAGCUAGUUGGUGGGGUAACGGCCUACCAAGGCAACGAUCAGUAGCCGACCUGAGAGGGUGACCGGCCACAUUGGGACUGAGACACGGCCCAAACUCCUACGGGAGGCAGCAGUGGGGAAUAUUGCACAAUGGGCGAAAGCCUGAUGCAGCGACGCCGCGUGAGCGAAGAAGUAUUUCGGUAUGUAAAGCUCUAUCAGCAGGGAAGAAGAAAUGACGGUACCUGACUAAGAAGCACCGGCUAACUCUGUGCCAGCAGCCGCGGUAAUACAGAGGGUGCGAGCGUUAAUCGGAUUUACUGGGCGUAAAGCGUACGUAGGCGGCUUUUUAAGUCGGAUGUGAAAUCCCUGAGCUUAACUUAGGAAUUGCAUUCGAUACUGGGAAGCUAGAGUAUGGGAGAGGAUGGUAGAAUUCCAGGUGUAGCGGUGAAAUGCGUAGAGAUCUGGAGGAAUACCGAUGGCGAAGGCAGCCAUCUGGCCUAAUACUGACGCUGAGGUACGAAAGCAUGGGGAGCAAACAGGAUUAGAUACCCUGGUAGUCCAUGCCGUAAACGAUGUCUACUAGCCGUUGGGGCCUUUGAGGCUUUAGUGGCGCAGCUAACGCGAUAAGUAGACCGCCUGGGGAGUACGGUCGCAAGACUAAAACUCAAAUGAAUUGACGGGGGCCCGCACAAGCGGUGGAGCAUGUGGUUUAAUUCGAUGCAACGCGAAGAACCUUACCUGGUCUUGACAUACAGAGAACUUUCCAGAGAUGGAUUGGUGCCUUCGGGAACUCUGAUACAGGUGCUGCAUGGCUGUCGUCAGCUCGUGUCGUGAGAUGUUGGGUUAAGUCCCGCAACGAGCGCAACCCUUUUCCUUAUUUGCCAGCACUUCGGGUGGGAACUUUAAGGAUACUGCCAGUGACAAACUGGAGGAAGGCGGGGACGACGUCAAGUCAUCAUGGCCCUUACGACCAGGGCUACACACGUGCUACAAUGGUCGGUACAAAGGGUUGCUACCUCGCGAGAGGAUGCUAAUCUCAAAAAGCCGAUCGUAGUCCGGAUUGGAGUCUGCAACUCGACUCCAUGAAGUCGGAAUCGCUAGUAAUCGCGGAUCAGAAUGCCGCGGUGAAUACGUUCCCGGGCCUUGUACACACCGCCCGUCACACCAUGGGAGUUUGUUGCACCAGAAGUAGGUAGUCUAACCGUAAGGAGGACGCUUACCACGGUGUGGCCAAUGACUGGGGUG